CAGCAGGUGCAAACCUAUCAUCACCUAACAGUUAUUGAGUCCAACCCCAUCUCUAUCCUGAGAUAUCAAAUAUCAAUAGAGUGAUUGUACCUUUUUGAUGCAUCCGAACCACUGUAAUCAAUCGAGAAUGAUCAACAUCAGGAAGGCACCCACAUCUCUACAACGAUGGAAGAUCUCUAGACUUAAUAUUUAGUGAGGAGAUUUAGAUUUAAAUCUCUUUUAAAUCAGCAGAUCUGACAUUCGACUCAUCAAAUUCAGGUCAGCAUAUCAACAUGUCUGACCAGCCU
rnacentral:lncRNA from 1 species